rnacentral:tRNA from 1 species
GCAUCUGUAGCUCAGCUGGAUAGAGUACUGCCCUCCGAAGGCAGGGGUCGUGGGUUCGAAUCCCGCCAGAUGCGCCA